rnacentral:rRNA from 1 species
UACGUAGGUGGCGAGCGUUGUCCAGAUUUAUUGGGCGUAAAGCGCGCGCAGGCGGUCCGUUACGUCCGUUGUGAAAGCUCCCGGCUCAACUGGGAGAGGUCUUCGGAUACGGGCGGACUCGAGGAAGGUAGAGGAAGGUGGAAUUCCCGGUGUAGUGGUGAAAUGCGUAGAGAUCGGGAGGAACACCAGUGGCGAAGGCAGAUCUCUGGGCCGUAACUGACGCUGAGACGCGAAAGCGUGGGGAGCAAACAGG